CAGAUUGUAAGGAAUCGUACCCCAAACCGACACAGGUGGUCGGGUAGAGAAUACCAAGGCGCUUGAGAGAACUCGGGUGAAGGAACUAGGCAAAAUGGUACCGUAACUUCGGGAGAAGGUACGCUCUUGAUGGUGAAGUCCCUUGCGGAUGGAGCUGACGAGAGUCGCAGAUACCAGGUGGCUGCAACUGUUUAUUAAAAACACAGCACUGUGCAAAA
rnacentral:rRNA from 1 species